UACGAAGGGGGCUAGCGUUGCUCGGAAUCACUGGGCGUAAAGGGUGCGUAGGCGGGUCUUUAAGUCAGAGGUGAAAUCCUGGAGCUCAACUCCAGAACUGCCUUUGAUACUGAGGGUCUUGAGUUCGGGAGAGGUGAGUGGAACUGCGAGUGUAGAGGUGAAAUUCGUAGAUAUUCGCAAGAACACCAGUGGCGAAGGCGGCUCACUGGCCCGGUACUGACGCUGAGGUGCGAAAGCGUGGGGAGCGAACAGG
rnacentral:rRNA from 1 species